UCUUUGCCUGUUUGCCUUGUAGGACAGAGCAUCUGCUAGAUCCUUGGCUUUCCCUUCACAGCUGCUGCUGGCCGUUGUUGGAGAGCUGACUUGGAAGGUGAAGCUUAUUGUUGAAGAUGGCAGACCCAGAUGUUCUCACUGAAGUUCCCGCGGCAUUGAAGCGGCUAGCCAAGUAUGUCGUCCGGGGCUUUUAUGGUAUUGAGCAUGUCUUGGCCUUGGACAUCUUGAUCCGGAACCCCUGUGUAAAAGAAGAGGACAUGCUGGAGCUGCUCAAGUUUGAUCGGAAGCAACUUCGAUCCGUUUUGAAUACUUUAAAGGGAGACAAGUUCGUCAAAUGCAGAAUGAGGGCAGAGACUGCUGCAGAUGGGAAGACCACCCGCCAUAACUACUACUUCAUCAAUUACCGCACUCUUGUUAACGUAGUGAAAUAUAAGCUGGACCACAUGAGAAGGAGGAUUGAAAUGGAUGAGAGAAGUUCCACCAGUCAGGCUUCCUUCAAAUGUCCUGUCUGCUGCAGCACUUUCACUGACCUAGAUGCUAAUCGGCUGUUUGAACCUACGACAGGAACUUUCUGCUGCACCUUUUGCCACACAGAGGUAGAAGAAAAUGAACCAGCAAUGCCCAAAAAAGAUGCUCGCGCGCUUUUGGCAAGAUUUAAUGAACAAAUUGAGCCCAUUUAUGCAUUGCUUCGAGAGACAGAGGAUGUCAACUUGGCCUACGCAAUACUUGAACCAGAACCCAUGGCAAUCCCAGCCCUGAAGCUGAGCAAGGACCGAGCAGCAACUGCUGCUGGAGCUGCUGGCCUGGCAGGUGGAUGUCACCGGGAGGCACAGACCAACAAAGCCCCCUCCUAUGCGGAUUUGUAUACUCAGAAUGUUGUCAUCAACACGGAUGACCAAGAUGUUAUGCAUCACACCUCGCUGGAAGGGAAAGCUGCCAAACAGAGACCCGUUUGGUUGAGAGAGAGCACGGUCCCAGGGGCGUACAGUUCUGAAGAGAGGAAGGAAGGUGGCAUGGAUGUGGACACAGUUCAGGAGCGCAAGCAAGCCCGCACAAGGCCUGAUGACAAUGAGGUGGUCAUGCGCGUUCUACUCAUUCAUGAGAAAAAGACUUCUUCGGCGACCACAGCUGGCUCGGUGGGAGCAGCGGCUCUGGCGAGGGCUGCUAAUAACAGUGACUCUGAGAGUGAGACCAGUGAGUCGGACGACGGCUUUCCACCCCGGCCAGCAGCUGCCGCUCCUCCUCAUCGCCAUGAAGAUGAGGAAGACGAAGAGUUUGAGGAAGUAGCAGGUGACCCCACUGUUAUGGUGGCUGGCUAUCCAUUUUCCUUCAGUGAAGUUAGCCAGCGGCCAGAGCUGGUAGCCCAGAUGACACCAGAAGAGAAGGAAGCAUACAUAGCCAUAAGUCAGCGCGUUUUUCGGGAUCUCUUUGAGUGAGCUUUCCCUGCUUUUUCCUGCCGUUAGCCCAUUUCAGAGAGAAACUUCCCAUCAAGUGCUUAAGGGCCUUCCCACCUCUUUAUGUAAAGCACCUGUUAAUCUAAUACAGACGCAUAGUAAGAGAAAAUGAUUUUAUUUAUUUAUUUAUUUAUUUUUACUGUAAGGAACAUCCCAGAAAGGUAGAAAGGUUAUAUUCAGUUCCCUCUUAUUACUAAAGUAUUAAUAUCUUUCUCUAUUUCCUUAUCUAUUUUUUCCUUUUCCCUUUUAAGACAUAUUUUUCUCACCCUGACUAAAAUGUUCCUGUCUCUUCAGAACCCUACUUUGGAUUAAACAUCCCCUAGUCUUGUAGCUGCACUGUGGUCAGGCAUUUGAGACAAUUCCUUAUAUUCCUGUCAACCAAAGCAGCUUACCAAGAAACAGACCACUGCUUAGGGGAACACCCAAACAUGUCACCUUCCUCAAAACUGAGUGGGGUCCACUCUCCUAGGAGUACAGGAGAAAGGGGUGCCUGAAUCUUAGGGUUGUGUGUAAACUAGAAUCCAUGUCUGUAGAAGGCAUAAGGCUGGUAGAUUGUUUCAUUUUCAUAGACCUUUUGAGCUAUACUUUAGGUGACAGAUAACAAAGCAGGUUAGGUAAGGAGUCUCCAGUGUUGAAGAACAGAGCACUGGGAACUGUGCCUUAGAGCUGCCUCAGAGCAAUUUGGAAGUCUCAGAUUUAAAGCUGAGACUGGCCCCACUUCCCCCACUUCCCCCACUUAUUCCGUAGACCUAUGCUAGUGCUCUGAAUUGAAGAGCCUUUCCAGUCCAGAGCAGUAGAGAAGUGCUGAUUGCCCAGCUCUCCUCACUCUUCCAAAGGUCAUCAAAGCCUUUAUUUGUCUCUCUUUCAAACAUUCAGUGCCUCUACUGUGUUGUUGAGCAUUGUAACCUCAAGGAAUGUAGUCAUUAGCAUGGUGUUAUUCCUGAAGGCACAACUUUCAAAAUAAAGGUUUUCAUAUAAGGUCUACAACAAUUAAUUUUUAUAGUAUUUUCCCUUACAUUGUGACGUUUAGUUAUCAAUUUGUUGUAUAUGUGUGAAGCUAAGAACAAAGAAUCUGAGCCUGGUGUAACGAGAUGACAUUGUUGCCUGGUUGUUGGAUGACUGAACAUUGACAGUCUACUUACUGCAGGUCAAAGCUGGUUAACUUCUAGCUCUAACUUCUUGGAGCACAACUAGAAUGAGCACUCUCCCCAUUGAAAGAUGUUAGAGGCUUCUGACUGGCCAUCAUCUAAGAGCAUAGGUGUAAUUCUAUGUGAUUUAAACUUUUUUUGGCAAUGCAUUGCCUUAAGAAAACCUUUUUAUGUAUUUAUAUUAAAUUCACAAACUGUUAAACUUUAAAGUUUUGUUUUUUAAACUUUCAUGGUUGUAGAAAGAUGUUAAUUUGUAAAACAUUAAUUUUAAAACUAUGCUCUUUGUUGCAUUUUAUCUCAGAUUGUAUUAUAAUUAUAAUUAUAAAUGUAUUAACAAAGGCACUCAUUUCUCAUUAAAGCUGCAUU